rnacentral:misc_RNA from 1 species
GAUGAAGAACGCAGCGAAAUGCGAUACUUGGUGUGAAUUGCAGAAUCCCGUGAACCAUCGAGUCUUUGAACGCAAGUUGCGCCCGAAGCCAUUAGGCCGAGGGCACGCCUGCCUGGGCGUCACACGUCGUUGCCCCCCCAUCUACUCCUUCGGGAUUGCGGGGGGCGGAUGAUGGCCUCCCGUGCGCCUCGUCGCGCGGUUGGCAUAAAUGCCAAGUCCUCGGCGACACACGCCACGACAAUCGGUGGUUGCGAAACCUCGGUUGCCCGUCGUGUGCGGUCGUCGCGCAUCGAGGGCUCGAAAAAAUUGCCGGGCUCCGGCUCGGCUUUCAACGCGACCCCGGGUCAGGCGGGGUUACCCGCUGAAUUUAAGCAUAUCAAUAAGCGGAGGA